UUAAGCGACUAAGCGUACACGGUGGAUGCCCUGGCAGUCAGAGGCGAUGAAGGACGUGCUAAUCUGCGAUAAGCGUCGGUGAGGUGAUAUGAACCGUUAUAACCGGCGAUUUCCGAAUGGGGAAACCCAGUGUGUUUCGACACACUAUCAUUAACUGAAUCCAUAGGUUAAUGAGGCGAACCGGGGGAACUGAAACAUCUAAGUACCCCGAGGAAAAGAAAUCAACCGAGAUUCCCCCAGUAGCGGCGAGCGAACGGGGAGGAGCCCAGAGCCUGAAUCAGUGUGUGUGUUAGUGGAAGCGUCUGGAAAGGCGUGCGAUACAGGGUGACAGCCCCGUACACAAAAAUGCACAUAUUGUGAGCUCGAUGAGUAGGGCGGGACACGUGGUAUCCUGUCUGAAUAUGGGGGGACCAUCCUCCAAGGCUAAAUACUCCUGACUGACCGAUAGUGAACCAGUACCGUGAGGGAAAGGCGAAAAGAACCCCGGCGAGGGGAGUGAAAAAGAACCUGAAACCGUGUACGUACAAGCAGUGGGAGCCUCUUAAUGGGGUGACUGCGUACCUUUUGUAUAAUGGGUCAGCGACUUAUAUUCUGUAGCAAGGUUAACCGAAUAGGGGAGCCGAAGGGAAACCGAGUCUUAACUGGGCGUUAAGUUGCAGGGUAUAGACCCGAAACCCGGUGAUCUAGCCAUGGGCAGGUUGAAGGUUGGGUAACACUAACUGGAGGACCGAACCGACUAAUGUUGAAAAAUUAGCGGAUGACUUGUGGCUGGGGGGGAAAGGCCAAUCAAACCGGGAGAUAGCUGGUUCUCCCCGAAAGCUAUUUAGGUAGCGCCUCGUGAAUUCAUCUCCGGGGGUAGAGCACUGUUUCGGCAAGGGGGUCAUCCCGACUUACCAACCCGAUGCAAACUGCGAAUACCGGAGAAUGUUAUCACGGGAGACACACGGCGGGUGCUAACGUCCGUCGUGAAGAGGGAAACAACCCAGACCGCCAGCUAAGGUCCCAAAGUCAUGGUUAAGUGGGAAACGAUGUGGGAAGGCCCAGACAGCCAGGAUGUUGGCUUAGAAGCAGCCAUCAUUUAAAGAAAGCGUAAUAGCUCACUGGUCGAGUCGGCCUGCGCGGAAGAUGUAACGGGGCUAAACCAUGCACCGAAGCUGCGGCAGCGACACUAUGUGUUGUUGGGUAGGGGAGCGUUCUGUAAGCCUGUGAAGGUGGCCUGUGAGGGUUGCUGGAGGUAUCAGAAGUGCGAAUGCUGACAUAAGUAACGAUAAAGCGGGUGAAAAGCCCGCUCGCCGGAAGACCAAGGGUUCCUGUCCAACGUUAAUCGGGGCAGGGUGAGUCGACCCCUAAGGCGAGGCCGAAAGGCGUAGUCGAUGGGAAACAGGUUAAUAUUCCCGUACUUGGUGUUACUGCGAAGGGGGGACGGAGAAGGCUAUGUUGGCCGGGCGACGGUUGUCCCGGUUUAAGCGUGUAGGCUGGUUUUCCAGGCAAAUCCGGAAAACCAAGGCUGAGGCGUGAUGACGAGGCACUACGGUGCUGAAGUGACAAAUGCCCUGCUUCCAGGAAAAGCCUCUAAGCAUCAGGUAACAUCAAAUCGUACCCAAAACCGACACAGGUGGUCAGGUAGAGAAUACCAAGGCGCUUGAGAGAACUCGGGUGAAGGAACUAGGCAAAAUGGUGCCGUAACUUCGGGAGAAGGCACGCUGAUAUGUAGGUGAAGCGACUUGCUCGUGGAGCUGAAAUCAGUCGAAGAUACCAGCUGGCUGCAACUGUUUAUUAAAAACACAGCACUGUGCAAACACGAAAGUGGACGUAUACGGUGUGACGCCUGCCCGGUGCCGGAAGGUUAAUUGAUGGGGUUAGCGGCAACGCGAAGCUCUUGAUCGAAGCCCCGGUAAACGGCGGCCGUAACUAUAACGGUCCUAAGGUAGCGAAAUUCCUUGUCGGGUAAGUUCCGACCUGCACGAAUGGCGUAAUGAUGGCCAGGCUGUCUCCACCCGAGACUCAGUGAAAUUGAACUCGCUGUGAAGAUGCAGUGUACCCGCGGCAAGACGGAAAGACCCCGUGAACCUUUACUAUAGCUUGACACUGAACAUUGAGCCUUGAUGUGUAGGAUAGGUGGGAGGCUUUGAAGUGUGGACGCCAGUCUGCAUGGAGCCGACCUUGAAAUACCACCCUUUAAUGUUUGAUGUUCUAACGUUGACCCGUAAUCCGGGUUGCGGACAGUGUCUGGUGGGUAGUUUGACUGGGGCGGUCUCCUCCUAAAGAGUAACGGAGGAGCACGAAGGUUGGCUAAUCCUGGUCGGACAUCAGGAGGUUAGUGCAAUGGCAUAAGCCAGCUUGACUGCGAGCGUGACGGCGCGAGCAGGUGCGAAAGCAGGUCAUAGUGAUCCGGUGGUUCUGAAUGGAAGGGCCAUCGCUCAACGGAUAAAAGGUACUCCGGGGAUAACAGGCUGAUACCGCCCAAGAGUUCAUAUCGACGGCGGUGUUUGGCACCUCGAUGUCGGCUCAUCACAUCCUGGGGCUGAAGUAGGUCCCAAGGGUAUGGCUGUUCGCCAUUUAAAGUGGUACGCGAGCUGGGUUUAGAACGUCGUGAGACAGUUCGGUCCCUAUCUGCCGUGGGCGCUGGAGAACUGAGGGGGGCUGCUCCUAGUACGAGAGGACCGGAGUGGACGCAUCACUGGUGUUCGGGUUGUCAUGCCAAUGGCACUGCCCGGUAGCUAAAUGCGGAAGAGAUAAGUGCUGAAAGCAUCUAAGCACGAAACUUGCCCCGAGAUGAGUUCUCCCUGACUCCUUGAGGGUCCUGAAGGAACGUUGAAGACGACGACGUUGAUAGGCCGGGUGUGUAAGCGCAGCGAUGCGUUGAGCUAACCGGUACUAAUGAACCGUGAGGCUUAACCUU
rnacentral:rRNA from 1 species